rnacentral:tRNA from 1 species
AGAUAUGGCUCAGCAGUUGAGAGCUCUGACUGCUCUUCCAGAGGACCUGGGUUCAAUUCCCAGUACCU